UUUGCAAGGUCUUCCUGAAAAGGAAUCUUUGUGUUUGUUUCUCCAAUUUGCGUCCAAGAAAGGGGAAAUCAAUCAAUACCAAAACCUAGUAAAAAUUAGGGAAGAAAUAGUUAAAAAAUGCAAUGGAGUGCCUUUGGUUUUGAAGACACUUGGGAGCUUGCUUCUCUCCAAAACUUCAGAAGAUGAUUGGGAACUUGUGAGAGAUAGUGAGAUAUGGAAAUUAGUGCAAGAGGAAAAAAGCAUUUUUCCUGUUUUGAACUUAAGUUAUGAUCACUUGCCUCCAUAUUUAAAGCCAUGUUUUGCUUUUCUUUCAGUCUUUCCAAAGGAUUAUGAAUUUAAUUGUAUGGAGUUGGUCCAUUUUUGGAUGGCUCAUGAUUUGCUUCAUUCCUCUAACAAAAAUGAAGAUGCUGAAGAUAUUGCUAAGCGUUAUUUGAUUGAUCUAUUGUCAAGGUCUUUUUUCCAAGACUUUGAUCAAAGUUUGUCUUUCCAAUCUUUUAAAAUGCAUGAUCUUCUACAUGAUCUUGCAUUAUCAGUGGCAAAGAAUGAGUGCUUGACGGUAAAUUGUUUCAAGCAAAUUAUUGCUCCAGGAAUUCGACAUUUGUGCCUUGACAACCUUGAUUUUCUUGAGGAGUAGUCUUCUGGCUCCCUUGAUGUUGAUAAGUUAUGUUAUCUACGCACAUUUCAUCUUGAAAAUAUGAAGGGAGGUCCUAACAGUGAAUUAUUUAUUAAGAAAUGUCUUUCAAGGUUUCAAAAUUUACGAGUACUAGAUCGUCAAGGAUCUAGUUUUGAGUUACUACCGAAAAAGAUUGGCAAUUUGAAGUAUUUAAGGUAUCUCGACCUAAAUGGCAACCCCAAAAUCAAGAAACUUCCAAAUUUUAUAUCCAAGUUACCGUGUUUGCAAAUUCUGCUUCUCUGUUGUGAAGGAAUUGAAGAGUUGCCCAAAAAUAUGAGGUCUCUAUUUAAAAAUGUUAGUAGUAAGUACAAAACAGAGGUCUCUAUUUAAAAAUGGACUUGAAAACUUGAAAUCUCUUCGGCAUUUGAUGAUUUUUGAAUGUAAAACUUUAAAAUAUUUGUUUGAUGGCAUUCAAAACCUCAAAUCUCUUACGUAUAAAUGGAAUAAAGACUCAAUCAUGAAUUGUGAAUUCAAAGCUGUUUAUUAAUGACUUUGGGCUACCACAUUUUUGUCUCUAAGUUUGCAAGACACUCUUCUCACAUUAAUUCAUCAGACCUAAUUUCUCUUACGUAUUGCUCUGUCCAAAACAAAAUUCUUGGUCUAUGUAAGCCCAUGAUGGUCUGCUGAAUUACCUUUGCGAAAACGGAUGCAUGAUAUUUCCCUCUUUAAUAUUUUAUAUGAUGCCUAUGAUCAGUAUAUCCAAUAUAGAGAUACAUUACUGAUUUGAAAGAAGGGUUUACAAUAUCUAACUUAAGCUCCAUGGGCUGACUCCUGAGAGUUCAACCAGAAUGCAAAUCUCGGUAAAAUUAUUUUUAACAAUAAGUAAAGAAAGAUUAUUUUAUGCAACUAAACGUAAAAUUAAGUUUUAUCAAUGAAACAAUAAACAGUAAUGUUGAAUCCAAAAGAUAGAAGACGAAGCCGAAUCUUGAAUUCAAACCCAAGACAUCAAACCAACAUUGAACGAAACAAGGAAAUUACAGCCCACAAACAAGCAUCAAAUUUCAGAUAGGUCCAUAACACAACUAGCUAGAAUACACCCAACAAUCAGGACAUAAGGCAAGCCAGGAACACUUCUGGAAUCAUAUUUAGUGGUUACGUGAAGAAUGGUGCAGCCACCAUGAGAAGUCCAGUCCAAUUACGUACCAAUAAAUGGAGAUACAUGCGCCCUGCCACUCAAUAACAAAUUAACAAUGGAUGAGCAAAAUCUCUAAAGAAUGCUAAAAUGGACACCAACAUGUUAUGGUACAUUAGGAUGUGAAAAAAUGUAGUUGCUAUUUCGGAAAAGUCAUCUUUAUUUAAAUAUAAAAGGUUCUUUACUCAGUCACUCUUUCAUUUGUUAGGUUAGUUUUUAAGUUUUAAUGGUUUUACUAUUCACUUUACAGAUUUUCUUUUUAAAAAAACUAGUACAAAAAUCAUUAAUAUGUUUAAAUAAGAAUGAAGCAAUAUAUAAUUAAAAACAAUAUCAUGGUACGUCUUAAAAGGGACGAAGCCCAAUUGAAACAUGAUAAUAAAUGUGCACAUAAACUUAAUGCUAAUAUCUUUUAUUAUUUGUAAAAAUAAGUUUCCUUUUGGAGUAUAUUUGAACUCGUAUCUGUUCCUACAUUAUUUAUUAUUUUAUUUAUAUAAAAUUAAAAUAUAUGAAUAAUAAAAGUUCAAAAACAACAACGAAAAAAAGAAAAUGAAAAAUGAAGAUAAACAACUAUGUACCGCGUAUCUUUCAUAACUUAAAUAUCUUUAUUUUGUUUUGUAAUUUCUUUUGAAAUAACAGUAUUGUAAGCAUGAAGUAACAUAUUGCUACUACUUAGUUGAUCAUAUUACUUGUUAAUUGAGUCUUAAAAACAUUGAUUUCCAGACUAACCACUAAAAUCACUUGUAUCAUUUCACUGACAAUUUAUAAAACAAAUAAAACUCAAUCUAAUAUGUAUAAAUGGAAGAAAGAAAGAAAGAAAAUUCAAGAAAAAAAGUGGGAAAAAUUACUUCUUAGCGAGUCGCUACGCUGCACAAUCUUGGCCCAAUCCUCUUCUGUUUCUGGCUUCCAUCUUUCGUUUAAAUUGGGACAAUGCAUAAUAGUCAUUUCUUUGAGGCACGGCAUACCCUCCGGCAGAGCCAUCAAUCCGUAUGUUCGAGACGUAAGCAAUCUUGGCCCAAUCCUCUCCUGUUUCUGGUCUGCAUCUUUCUUUCAAAAUGGGACAAUGCAUAAUACUCAAUUCUCUGAGGCAAGGCAUACUCUCUGGUAGAGAUGACAGUUUUGGGCAUUUCCCAAUACUAAACCUUUCAAGUGAUGUGAGAUUCUGCCACUCCGCCAAUGUUGUGAGAUUCUUGCAUUCUUCGAUUACCAGGAUCUGCAAAGUGUUGGCAGAUUCUCCAAGAAGCCAAUUGGGUAGUGCCUCCAGCCUUGGUAACCAUCCAAUGAUUAAUGUUUGAAGGCGUAACCCACUGCCAAUGUUGUGAUCUUGACUGUCAUCUUCUUUUCCUCUCGCUUUGGAUGCCAAUAUCAUAUUUAGAUGGAGCUUUUCGCAAUUCGAAAUCACCAGAAUUUUUAACGGGGUUAAAGCUUUAAUACCUUGUGGCAGCGCGAUCAAGUUCUUGCAAUCAACUAUUAUCAAUGUAUGAAGGGAUGUCAGAUUUUGAAUCCCAUCAAACAAAUAUUCUAAAUUUUCACAAUUAGCAAAUAACAAAUACCGAAGAGAUUUCAAGUAUUCAAGUCCAUUCUUGGAUAGAUCUUUUUGCUUUGUACUUAUUGAUAACAUUCUGAGACUAAUCAUGUAUCUCAUAUUGCUGGGCAACUCUUCGAUUCCUGCAUGAAUGAGAAGCAGAGUUUGCAAACACAGUAACUUACAUAUGAAAUUGGGAAGUUUCUUGAUAUUGGAGUUGCCGCUUAAAUCGAGAUAUCUCAAAUGCUUCAAACCACUAAUCCUUUUGGGCACUACGUCAAGACUAGAUCCUUGUAGAGUUAGCACUCGCAACUUUUGAAAUCUUGAAAGACAUUUUUUGAUAAAUGAUUCACUUUUGGCAUCUGCUUUCAUAUUUUCAAAACGAAAUGUACGUAGAUGACAUAAGUUGUCAAUAUAAAAAAAGUCACAAGAAUUUUUCUUAAAAAAAUCAGAGUUUUGAAGGUACAGAUGUCGAAUUCCUGAGGUAAUAAUUUGUUUGAAAGAGUUUAUCCUAGAGCACUCAUGCUUUGCCACUGACACUGCAAGAUCAUGUAGAAGAUCAUGCAUUUUAAAAAAAUAUUGUUUAGACAAACUUUUAUCAAAAUCUUGAAAAAAAGACCUUGAUGAUAGAUCAUUCAAAUAACGACGACCAAUAUCUAUUGGGUCAUCAUUUUCAUUGGAGGAUUGAAGCAAAUCAUGAGCCAUCCAAAAAUGGAUCAACUCCAUGUAAUUAAAUUCAUAAUCCUUUGGAAAGACUGAAAGAUGAGCAAAACAUAACUUUAAAUAUGGAGGCAAUUGAUCAUAACUCAAUUUCAAAACAGGAAAAACGUUGUUUUCCUUUUGCAUUACUUUCCACAUUUCACUAUCUCUCACAAGUUUCCAAUCAUAUUCUGAAGUUUUGCCGAGAAGUAAGCUCCCAAGUGUCUUCAAAGCCAAAGGAAUUCCAGUGCAACUUUUAACUAUCUCUUUCCCAAUUUUUACCAGGUUUGAGUAUUGAUUCAUUUCCCUUUUCUUGAAUGCAAAUUGGAGAAACAAAGACAAAGCUUCCUUUUCUGGAAGACCUUCUAAAUUGUGUGUUGGGAUUGUGCCCAUGAUCUCUGCAACUCGGCUACUACGAGUGGUGACUACAAUUUUGCUUCCCCUACCUCCUCCCACAAGCAACUGUUUCAAUUCCUUCCAUUUAAUAUUAUCUUCAUUCCACAGAUCAUCUAGAAUGAGUAAAUAUUUUUUCCCAUCUAAAGAGUCUCGUAAAACCUUUUGUAAUUGAUCUAAAUCCAUAUUACUCCAAUCUCCAUUGAUCUUUUUUGCCGCUUUAAUAAUUUUUACAAUUAAUCGUUUCAGAUGAAAAUCAUCUGAAACACAAACCCACAUUUUCAACUGAAAUUCCCCAUCUAUGAUUUCAUCAUUGAGCACCAAUUUUGCAAGGGCGGUCUUUCCGAGACCUCCAAUUCCAACUAUAGGAAGGACACAGAUAUUUUCCCCAUCAGUUGGGUCUUGCAUCAAAGCUCUUAUGAUUUUUUCUUUGUCCUCAUCUCUACCAAUGAUAUCCGCUGCUUGCACAAAGGAGUGGGUCUCCCUGUCCGGGCCCAUAACGACAUGCCUAGUGUCAUAAUGUCUUUCAGCGAGAUGAAAAUUAGCUUUCAAAGCAGCAAUCUCCCCAAAUCUCAGGGUAACCUUUUUAAUCUUUUGGGCCAUCCUAAAUCGAAAAGCAAGUGGGUUCGAGCUUGAAAAGAAAUGACUUACCUUCUUUCCGAUGCUCCUCUGUCUCAGAACUUGCUUCCGCAAUGCUUCGAUUUUAAAUUCAUCCAACACAUCUUCGGCAUCAUAACAGGCAUCCUUCAGCUUUUGCAACCAAUUCCGCAGCUGAUUGUUAUGAGCUUGGAUUUCUUCAGCAUCUAAGAGCACAUCUUUGACAGUGGUCAAUAUGUCAUUAAGCCUUUGAAAGUCAGAUUGGACACCCCAAGCUAGAGAAAUUUCUUGAUAAGCAACAGUGGCUAGUUUCUGAACUAAACUUUCUACAAUGUUAAAGGCAAAGGUUUCAGCCAUGAAUUUCUGAGGUAGUGAACAAGGGGAAGGAAAAGGAAAGAAAGAAACAGAAGAGAACACAAUUUGUGUGAAAUGCUAUUUAUUGCCACUGACUGACGAUAUACCUUGAAGCAAAUAGAAUUCAGAUGAAUCGUACAUGGAAAAAGCAGCUGUGAAAUGAGAAAGAAAGCGCGAGAAGGAAAACAAUAAAAAUCUUAAGAUUUAUUUGAUAAAGUUUCCUAUUUUUAAUUAAUUUUUAGUUUUUACUGUCAAAAUUUGUGUUUUUGUUUUAAAAAAUUAAAGAUAUAAAAUACACAUUAAUGGAAAUUUUUGGAGAAUUUAAAAAAUUAAAAAGUGUGAUGUGAAUUUUUAGGUGGUCACGUGACAUUUAAUUGCUCUUUAAACAGUUAAAAAUCCAAAAUACACAUUAAAUUCAAAACGACUUAAGAUUAACCAAAUAACAAAGAAAGAAAUAAGGAUUUAAAAUUAAAAGUUACCAAUUAACUAAAUUAAUUAGAAUUGAUGUGUGGUUUCUGCAUUUUCUGUGUUUGCUUUGCUGACUGAAGUGCUGAAAAUAUCAUUUUUGUUGUCAUGUGUUCUGAAAUAGACCUUGAAUGUGUUAGAAUGGUUUAUUGUUAUCUCACCAGGGCCCUUGAAUGUAAUUCCUGUGUAGGGAAGCAAGGUUAGUUUUCUUUGGUUAUGAUUUGUGCAGUGUGCAGAUUGUGUUUUUCUCUGCUUUUGUUGUGCAGGAUAUGUUCGGAUCAGGUUGUUAUGGGAUGUUCCUGAGAGCUUGUGAUGUUUGGUUGUUACCCUUGCAUCAGUUUCAUCCCAGGUACAACCUGGCAAAUUGCUAAAGGUCUAGUAUACGCAGUGACACUAAGGAGGGGUCUUGUCCCUUUGCCGUGUUUCUACUGCAAUACUACUGCCGUGUUUCUACCGCAAUACUACUUUGCCGUGUUUCCACGCGAUACCUAUGAUGGGUAAGUUUUUUGUACUGAUAUUAUUUAAAAAAAGCAAAAAACUUUUAAUGUGAGAAAGUUAUUUGCAAACUUAGAGUAAAUGUGGUCAGAGCCAACUCUAAAGUCACCCAAGAAAAGGCUUUAGGUCUCAAAUUUGAAGAGGCUUUAUAUUUUUAUAAUAAUAAUAUAAUGAAUUUUAUUAAAAUAAGAUUUAUAAUUGAUGUCAAGUUAUCAAAAUAUUUCAUCUCAUCAAUGAAGUAAAAUUAAAAUCUUAUAAGAAGUUAAAACUAAGUAUUAAUAAUUUUCCUUAAAAAUACAUAAAUAAUAAUUUUUUUCCUCUCCAACUCCCUCUCAAUUUUUUUUUUGUUCUCCUUUUCUUUUAUCUCUUGAACUCCACCAUUUCUCCUCUUUUCUUCUUCUUCCAUUAAGAGCAAAUUUGACAAAAUUAUUUUGUUAACUUCAAUAGUGAAAAGGCUUAGAAAAGUAUUGGCUCGACUUAAUGGACGUGGGUUAGGACAGUAUGGGAUUGGGUUAGGAGAGUAAGGGAUUCUGGCUUCCAUUUGGGACUUUGAUUGCCAAUGUUUUGGCUGCUUAUGUAAUGACAGCACUCUCCAUCGUGAAAAGGCUGGUAAGAUUUCAUUGAAUGGUUUCUAAUUUUUCUACACAGAUAUCAGGCAACAACCAAAGUUAAAUCAUAGGAAAUAUAAAUGGGAAUCGCAUAAGUUAAAACUGAAUAUAUCAUUAAAGCCAAUAAGUCAAAAUUUCUUUGAAAUCUUUAACUCUUGAAGUUGCACAAUUUACCAAACUUGUUCUUAAUGAAAGAAGAAAAAAAAAUAAUGGAGUUGGAGAGAGAUAAAGACGAGGAGAACAAGAAAACGUUGGGAGAGCUGCAGAGAGAAAUUUCUUGAUAAGCAAAUAGAAUUCAGAUUAAUUGCAAAUGGAAGAAGCAGCUGUGAAAUGAGAAAGAAAGUGAGAGAAGGAAAACAAUAAAUGGAGGAACAAAAAAAAUCUUAAGAUUUCUUUGAUAAAGUUUCCUAUUUUUAAUUAAUUUUUAUUUUUUAGUGUCAAAAUUUGUGCUUAUAUUUUAAAAAAUUAAAGAUAAAAAAUAUGAUUAUUAAUUAGCAUUAUCCCACAAUAAAAAAAUACAAAAUUAUUGGAAACAUGAUCAAUAGAUAUUUUUAGUACAGUUUUUAACAAUGAUCGAAACAAUAAGCAGUAAAGUUGAAUCUAAAAGAAAGAAGAAUCCUGAGUCCAAGCUCAAGCCAACAAACCAACAAUAACCGAAUAAAGAAAUUAGAUUAAAUUAUGAAAUUAAUCCCUAUACUUUAUAAAAAUAUUAAAUUUUUAGUCCUCAUAUUUUAUCAAAAUGUUUAAUUUAGUCUUCAUACUCUAUCAAAAUAUUAAAUUGAGUUUUUUAUUAUAAUUUAUCGGUUAAAUUAUGCAAUUACUCUAUGUACUUUGGUAAAAUAGUGGAUUUAGUUUCUGUAUAAUAAUUUGUAAAAAUUGAAUCUUUAUAUUUUUUAAAAUUGACAUGUUAGUCAAAUUGUUAACAGUAUUAAAAUGUUUUUAUUAUUUAUGUUUAGAUGGCAUUUUUUACUGAUAUAACAUUAAAUACGAUGAUAUGUUAAUGAUGACGUGACAUUUUUCAUUUAUUUCACAACAUUCCUUUCAUCGCUUUAAAUUAUAGAGCACAAAAAUUCAAUUCUUCACUGUUUCACAAUACUUUUUUCCUAGAUCCUAAAAAUCUAUUCAUAAUUUUAAUUUGUUUUUUUUAAUCCUGUUUAAAAUCAUUAACUCACACUAGAUAAUUCUAUGUUUGAGUUAUAAAAUUCAUGUUAGUACUUGUUCACGUUAUAUUGAUACUACUAUUAUAUCAUUUGUGAAAUGUCACAUUAUCAUUGUCAUGUUAUCAAAUUUAAUGUCACAUGAACACAACGAAACGUCAUAUCAAUAUAGAUAAUUGAAAAUUUUUAGCACAUUGGAUUGACAUUAUCAAUUUUAAAAGGUAUAAGGACUCAAUUUUUACAAAUUCUUGUAUAAUGACUAAAUUCACUAUUUUGAUAGAGUAUAAAGAUUAAUUGUAUAAUUUGAUCUAAUUUGUCUAAACGAAAUCUUUAUAUUUUCAAAACUUAUUAAUAGCAGUCUAAUUAGUAUUAUGUUAUGCUAAAAUUGUUGAUACCAUGAUGUGACAUUAACUAAGCUUAUAAGACAGUUAUUAGUGCUGUGACUUUGAUAGGUUCUAAAAUGGAAAGUUUUGGAGAAAUUAAAAAAUUAAAAAAUGUGACGUGAAUUUAUAGCUGGCCACGUGACAUUUAAUUGAGACUCAAACGGUUAAAAACUCAAAAUACAUAUUAAACUCAAAACUAAUUAAGAUUAAUCAAAUAACAAAGAAAGAAAUAAGGAUUUAAAAGGAAAGGUUACCAAUUAACUAAAUUAAUUAGAAUUGAAGAAUAGUGAACGUAGAGAGGGAAACUCUCCCAAGACGUUACGACUAAAAGUAAGCCCUUUUUUGACCGAACAAAUUUCGUCAGCAAUUUCUGGUGGAAAUCCAACGGGUUCUCUUCCUAACCAUUGUCAACGAUUUCUGAUGAAAUUUACCCAAAAAAACGCAAUGAUCAGAAUCGUCAUUGGCGCCAAAUCCGAUCUAUACGGUGGACACCUAUGGGCUCGGUAUCUCUUUUCUUUUCUGCAUUUUCUGUGUUUGCUUUGCUGAUUGAGGUGAUGGAAAUAUGAUUUUUGUUGUCAUGUGUUGUGAAAUAGACCUUGAAUGUAUUACAAUGUUUUGUUGUCAUCUCACCAGGACCGUUGAAUGUAAUUCCUGUGUAGGGAAGCAAGGGCAGUUUUCUUGGUUAUGAUUUGUGCAGUGUGCAGAUUGUGUUUUUCUCUACUUUUGUUGUUCAGGAUAUACGUUCAAAUCAGGUUGUUAUGGGAUGUUCCUGAGAGCUUGUGAUGUUUGGUUGUCACCGUGGGGGGAGGGUUGUUGUUGCAUCAGUUUCAUCCCAGAUACAACCUAGUAAAUUGCUAAAUGUCUUGCUUACGCAGUGACACCAAGGAAGGGGUCUUGUCCCUUUACCGUGUUUCUAGUGCAAUACUACUUUGUCGUGUUUCCACUGCAAUAAUGCCUAUGAAGGGUCGUUUUUUGUACUGAUAUUAUUUCAAAAAAACAAAAAACUUUAAUGUGAGAAAGUGAUUUGUAAACUUUUAAAUGUGGUCCAAGUCGACGCUUGCUAAAGUCACCCAAACAAGGGCUUUAGCUUUUAAAUUAAGAGAGAUUUCAUAUUUUUAUAAUAAUAAUAUAAUUAAUUAUAUUAAGAAUGACAUUUAUAUUUAAUACACUAACAGCGUAUAGUUUCUAUAUACUGUCAAACUAUCAAAAUAUGUCAUCUCAUUAAUAAAGUAAAAUUAAAAUCUUAAUUAAAUAUUAAAAAUUUUCUUCAAAAAUACAUAUAAGAUAAAACUAAAUAUUAAUAAUUUUUUUUAAAAAUACAUAAGUAAAAAUUUUUUUGCCGUUCACCUCGCUCUAAGGUUUUCUUAUUCUCCUCUCCUUUUAUCUCUCUCCAACUCCAUCAUUUCUCCUCUUCUCUUCUUUAUUCCAUUAAAAGCAAAUUUGACAAAAUUAUUGUGUUAACUUCAAUAAAUUUCAAUAAAUUUGAAAAGGCUUAGAAAAGUCUUAACUCGACUUAAUGGGCGUGAGACUUUGAUUGCCAAUGUUUUUGCUGCUUAUGUAAUGACAGCACUCUCCAUAGUGAAAAGGCCGGUAAGAUUUCAUUGAAUGGUUUCUAAUUUUUCUACACAGAAAUCACAAGGCAGCAAGACAUAUAUUUUGAUCAAUUAAACUAAAAGGCAACAACCAAAGUUAAAUCAUAGGAAAUGUAAAUGGGAAUCGCAUAAGUUAAACUGAAUAGUAUACAAAGAAAAUUAUACUUGUGCUUGCAGCAAAACUUGGCUGUCAAUUCAACUGCCAAAAAGUUCUUUAAACAAGAUUAACACUAAACUUUAGUUGGGGAAAGUGACAAACCAGUAAACUUUGUAAAAUUUUGUUAAAUCAAAUAUAAACUUUAAUAAAAUAAGCAUCAAUUUUUUAUCACAUUGUAACCCUAAACCCAAGCUAAAAAUCACUUAAAAAAUAUAUCAUUAAACCCAACAAGUAAAAAUUUCCUUUAAGAGUUACCAAAUGGUAAUUAUUGGAGGGUUACCAAAGUUGGAAGUACUACCCCAAUGGCUUCUUGGGGGAUCUGCCAACACUUUGCAGUUGCUGGCACUUGUCGAAUGUGAAAAUCUCACAACAUUUCCAGACAGACAGAAUCUCACAUCACUAGAAAGGUUGGUGAUUAGGGACUGUCCAAAUUUGUCAUCACUGCCAGAGAGGAUGCAAUGCCUCAAAGAAUUGAACAUUGGAAGGUGUCCGAUUUUGAGCGAAGGAUACAAACCAGAAAACGGAGAGGAUUGGGCCAAGAUUUCUCAUGUAUCUCGUAUUACUAUUGAUGGCCAUGAAAUCACAUCAAACAAAUGAACAGCCUGACAAUUAGCUAAUUAAGAAUUGCUUUUUCCGUCUGUUAUUUUUCUACAAUUUUCUUUCUUUCCUCCAUUUAUGUAUCAAAUAAUAAAACAUGAUUCUUUUUUAACUUUUUUUAUAAAGCUUGUCAGAUAAAUGAUACAAUUGACUUUAGUUGGUAGCUCAGAAAUCAGUAUUUAAGAUUUUCUUUUUUUUUUGGCCUAGCAAUAUUUAACAUUAAUAUGAUCACCUAAGUAGUAGUAAUGUGUUACUAUUUCCAAAGGAAUUACCAAGCAACGUUUAUUUCUAUUUUCAAUUUUUUCUCAAAUAAAAAAUUAAUUUACUAUUCCUCGCUCUUUGUUUCUUUUUGUUGUUUUUGGACAUUUAUUAUUUACAUUUUAGUUUUUAUAGAAAUAAAGCAAUAAACUGUGUAUAGAUACAAACAUAGAAUACACAUUUAAAAGAAAAAACUUAUCGUUUUACAUCUUACUUUUAAUAAAAAAUGUUGGUCAAUGUAACAUUCUUUAUAAUUUUACCUCAUUUGGUGUUACUGAAUCGCAGGGCACGUCUGCAUUUAAUGGUGUUGGAUUGGCAGUAGUCUUCAUGUAAUCCCCAAAGGUCAGUCCAUCGGGCAUUCCCGGCUUGCCACUUGUCCUCUUUGUAAUUUAUUUGAGUUGUAAUUUCCUUUGUUUUGUUCAAAGUUGGUUUGUUGGUUGUUGCCUUGGGUCUGGCUCUUCUUUCUUUUGGAUUUAAGCCCCAUGAGGCACAUAGGGACGGUGCCCCAUGUGGUGCAGUCGGACUGUGCCAAAUGGGUCCUCAAUGUCACAUUAUUGUUCACUCUUUUAUAUUGUUAAAACUUUAUUUUAUGUAUUUACUUCUUACUUAUUUAAUAAUUUCAUUAUCUUUUUUAAUAUGCAACAAUAUUACUAAUUACGAGUUUAACUUUACUCUAAUUUUUUUUUAUUUUAUUUUUUCACGUUUUUAAUACAAUUAAACUUGUCAUUUUUUUUUUAAAGUAAUUAAACUUGUCAUUCAAUUAUGUAAGACUCACUUAUGAAUUGUGAAUCCUAUCUAUAUAUGUAAAUGAAAUAUUAUUAAAUAUUUAUUAAUAGCUUUGAUUUUUCUUUGUUAUGAAAAUAGGUCAUUUUACCAUCUAUAAUCAUGAAAGGGCAAAGAAGGUUAAUUAAGGAAAUGAAAGAGAUAUUUUUCUACUACGUGGAAGAAAGACUUUGAAGGGGCGCAACAAUUCAAAGCACUAGGUCUUUUUGGCCUUAAAGUCACUUUAUAUAUUGUUCACUUUUAUACUGUUAAAACUUUAUUUUAUGUAUUUACUUAUUACUUAAUUGAUAAUUUCAUUUGUUUAUGCAACAGUAUUACUAAACGCAAGUUUGGCUUUACUCCAUUAUCUUUUCAUUGUCUCACGCUUUUCAAUACAAUUAAACUCCUCAUUCACAUAUAUAGGACUCAAUCAUGAAUUGUGAAUUAAUGGAAUUAAUAUUCAUAAACAUUACUAAUAACUUUGAUUUUUCCCUGUUAUGAAAAUAGGUCCUUCCUGAAUCGACUUCAGCACUAGGUCUUUUUACCAUAUAUAAAAAUGAAAGAGCAAAGAAGGUUCAUUAGUAAAAUGAAAGAGACAUUUUGCAACUACGCGGAACAAAGACUUUGAAGAAGCGGAGCAAUUCAAAGCUGUUUAUUAAUGACUUUGGGCUACCACAUUUUUGUUUCUAAGUUUGCAAGACAUUCUUCUCACAUUAAUUCAUCAGACCUAAUUUCUCUUACGUAUUGCUCUGUCCAAAACAAAAUUCUUGGUCUGUGUAAGCCUAUGAUGGUCUGCUGAAUUUCCUUCGCGAAAACGGAUGCAUUUCCCUCUUUAAUAUUAUAUAUGAUGCCUAUCAGUAUAUAAAGACUUUGUUAACUGGAUUAGGAGUACAAAUCCACUUCGUUCAUCAGCAAAGACUGGAAUGUUUGAGUGUCCUGAUUUUUAUCCUGUUAGCAUAAAUGGAAAUUAUGGAGUUAACACUUCUUCACAAGAUGAACUUACCAAGCAUGUGCUAAAUGCAAGCUUCAAUGGAAAUGAUUACUAUAUAUUAGGAAGUUACACAACCCAAACACACAACUUCUCGGCUGAAAAUGACUUCUUGGACAGCAGUUUUGUUUUCUAUAUCAUUAUGGGAAAUUUCAUGCUUUCAAGACGUUUUAUGACAGCUCUAAGAAGAGGCGACUGUCAUGGGGCCGGAUAGCAGGGAUGGAGGUAAUGCAAAUGCCCUUGAGAAAGGAUGGUCAGGGCUUCAGGCAAUCCAACUUUAAUUUUUAUAUUCACUCUUAUUAGCUCACUGGCUCAUCCCUCGUUUAAUAUAUAUAUAUAUAUAUAUAUAUACAUAUAUGAAAAUUGAUUAUACUCAUUUUGCAAUGCAAUCUGUGCUUGACAGUCAAUUCCUAGAAACAUUCUGCUCAGUAAAACUAGAAAGCAAUUGAUUCAAUGGCCAAUCAAAGAGAUUGAGACUCUUCGCGCUGAGAAUGUAAGCAUCCAGGAGACGCUGCUCUCAACUUGUGUCAAAUUAUUGAUGUGAUUUAUUCAAGUUAUUUGGCCGAUAGCUACAUUAGUAUUUUCUAUUUAAAUUGGGUUCAUUUGAUAGAAAAAUAAAAUAGAAGACUCGAUUUACAUAUAUAAAAAGAAUUUGACUGAAAAUUAUGUCAUAGUUUGAAGGCUUAUUUUUAUUACUAUGCCCUUUUUUUACAUUCAAUAGAAGAAGGCUAUAAAACUGACAAGAAUAUAAACUUGUACAUGCAAGAGUAAUUCGUGCUCCGUAGUCUGUCCUGCCUUAUUCAAAACUUGAUUGUCAAAUGAUUUGAAACUUAAUUUCUAUAUAUUGGAAGAAACAAGUUGGGCUUCUCUUCAAGCUUCAGGCCUCCAGCUUCAUAUAAUUAUUGACCAUUUCUCUAAUCCUUUUUUUUUUUUCUUUUUCAUAUGAAAUUCUUUACAAAAUUUUUUGGUUAAUCAUAAAAAAAAAAAUUGUUGGUUAAAAAUCAUGAACCAAGGUUGAUUAGGGUAUGGAAAGGGUAAAUAAUUUUAUUCAUAAUUGGAGAGUAGACGACUGAAACAAGUCUCAAAAAUUUAAUUAUGAAAAAAAAAUUGUCCUGUUUGUAAUAGGAGACAUUUAAAAAUUAAUAAAGUCUUAGAAAAGUCUUACAGAGAAGAACUAAGCAUAUUGAUCAUCCAGUCAAACUUAUAAGCCUUAUUUGGUUCAUGAAAUCAACAUACGGAGGAACGGAAAAUAAAUUUUGUAGGGUUCGUUCUGUCUUUUAUAUUUUGUUUUAUUAUGCAUUCAAAAUUUGUACUUUGUUUUUUUUUAAAAAAAUUGAAAAGACAUAACAAAAUGUUAAAUAGUGUCUAUAGACUCUAGUUAAGGUGAUAUUCAUCAAAAGAAUUAAUAUUCUUUUUAAUUUAGGAAAAAUACAUUAAAUAAAAAAUAUUUCCUAUAGGCCUUAAUUAACCAAACAUAAAUUAUGUUUGGUAAUUAAUAUUAGUGCAUGUUGGGAGAAAGAAUGAAAUUACUGAAAACAUAAUAAGUAUAAAUUAGUGCAUAAAAUAAAGUCUUUUACAAUGAAGCAAUAAACAUAAUAUCUGAUGUUUUUUUAUUUUUUGAAAGGUAAUAUGUGAUGUUAAAUCCAAAAGAAAGAAGAUGCAAGCGAAAUCUCGAUUUCAGUCAAGGCAACAAACAAAACAAAGAAAUUACAACCCAGCAAUCAAAACACGUGGCAAGCCAGGUGCACCCCUGGACUCAAUUUUAGCGUUUCCAUUUUAGAUCACGUGAAGAAGGGGGUGUGCAAUUGGUUUGAAGACUAAUAACAGCUUAGCAGCAUAAAAUUUAAAAGCUCUUUAAAGAUUAAAAACACUUUGUAAUUGUUAAUCUCUGACAUGCCCUUUUUUUUGCCUUCUUUUUCAACACGCAUGGGCUGGAAAAGCAAUUGCUCCAAUGGAUAAUUGAGCUGCCGUAGUAAAAGGAGGAUUAUUUUAUGAAACUUAGUGAUGCUACUUAUGACUCAGCUAACAGGCUGAAGAAAAGAUGGGUGGAAAUUCUAAAUAAACGAAUAGUUAAGCGAAAACUUUAACUAUAAAUUAAUCAGAAGUGUAAUUGGGCUUGAUCGCAUCCUUCUCUCUCUUUCAAUCUCAUUUCACAGCUGCUUCUUCCAUUUGUGAUCCAUCUGAAUUCUAUUUGCUUCAAGAUAUAUAGUCAGUCAGUAGCAACAUACACCAUUUCACACAAAUUAUCUUCUCCAUCUGCUUCUUUUUUUCCUUUCCCUCCUCCUUGUUCACCACCUCAAAAAAUUCAUGGCUGACACCUUUGCCUUUAACAUUGUAGAAAGAGUUAUUGAGAAACUAGCCACUGCUGCUUAUCAAGAAAUUUCCCUAGCUUGGGGUGUGCAAACUGACUUUCAAAGGCUUAAUGACAUAUUGACCACUGUCAAAGAUGUGCUCUUAGAUGCUGAAGAAAACCAAGCUCAUAAUAAUCAGCUGCGGAAUUGGUUGCAAAAGCUGAAAGAUGCUUGUUACGAUGCAGAAGAUGUACUAGAUGAAUUUGAGAUCGAAGCAUGGCGGAGGCAAGUUUUGAAACAGAGGAACAUCGUAAAGAAGGUACGCAAUUUCUUUUCAAGCUCAAACCCAGUUGCUUUUCGAUUUAGGAUGGCCCAUAAGAUUAAAAAAGUUACUGAGAGGUUUGGGGAGAUUGCCGCUUUGAAAGCUAAUUUUCAUCUUGCUCAAAGACAUUAUGGAACUAGGCAUCUUAUGGGCUUGGACAGGGAGACCCACUCCUUUGUGCAAGCAGCAGAUGUCAUUGGUAGAGAUCAAGACAAAGAAAAAAUCAUAAACGCCUUGAUGCAAGAUCCAACUGAUGGGGAACACAUAUCUGUCCUUCCUAUAGUUGGAAUUGGAGGUCUCCGAAAGACUACCCUUGCAAAAUUGGUGUACAAUGCUGAAUGUAUAGAUAGGCAUUUUGAGUUGAAAAAGUGGAUAUGUGUUGCAGAUGAUUUUGAUUUGAAACAAUUAAUGAUAAAAAUAAUUAAAGCUGCAAAGGGAUUCGAUGGAAAUUGGAGUAGCAUGGACUUAGACCAAUUACAAAAGGUCUUUCGAGAUUGUUUAGAUGAGAAAAAGUAUUUACUCGUUUUGGAUGAUUUAUGGAACGAGGAUCAUAUCAAAUGGGAUGAACUAAAACAAUUGUUGGUGGGAGGAGCUAAGGGAAGUAAAAUUGUAGUCACCACUCGUAGUAGCCAAGUUGCAGAGAUCAUGGGCACAAUCCCAACACACAAUUUGCAAGGUCUUCCUGAAAAGAAAUCUUUGUGUUUGUUUCUCCAAUUUGCAUCAAAAAAAGGGAAAUCAAUCAAUACCAAAACCUAGUAAAAAUUGCGGAAGAGAUAGUUAAAAAAUGCAAUGGAGUGCCUUUGGUUUUGAAGACACUUGGGAGCUUACUUCUCUCCAAAACUUCAGAAGAUGAUUGGAAAUUUGUGAGAGAUAGUGAGAUGUGGAAAUUAGUGCAAGAGGAAAAAAUAAUUUUUCCUGUUUUGAAAUUGAGUUAUGAUCAAUUGCCUCCAUAUUUAAAG
rnacentral:lncRNA from 1 species